rnacentral:rRNA from 1 species
CGGUAAUACGGAGGGGGCGAGCAUUGUUCGGAAUUAUUGGGCGUAAAGGGCAUGUAGGCGGUUCGGUAAGUUAAAGGUGAAAUGCCAGGGCUUAACCCUGGAGCUGCUUUUAAUACUGCCAGACUAGAGACCGGGAGAGGAUAGCGGAAUUCCUAGUGUAGAGGUGAAAUUCGUAGAUAUUAGGAGGAACACCAGUGGCGAAGGCGGCUAUCUGGUCCGGUACUGACGCUGAGGUGCGAAAGCGU